UUGAGCCAGAUAGUUUAGCCUGCUAUCCGUAUACUGGCUGGUGAUGAACUACUUCAAGAUACCUGAUGCUCUACUCCUAUUGUUAUUUAUAGUUUAAAAAUGGGUCUUGGACAGCCUUUCAAACAAAGAACAUCUCCAGAUAGAAGGCUACCUACUAACAACCCUUCAAGCAAAGAGAAGACUGCUACAUAUUCCCCUGAAGUUACUAGGAACUGGAGUUUUUCAAUUCCACACCCCUGCAGUAUGAAGCGUAGCUUAAAAAAAAGAUGAAGACUGGCAGAAAGUGAGGAAAGCUUGGAAAGGCUCCAGAGCAGUACUUUAUUCAAACUUGCCUUGUGCCUGAACUCAAACUGAAAUACAGGUCUAAGCAAUUUAUUGGCUACAGACCUAACCUGCUUUCUGCAGUUCAGCAGCUGCUUUGACCACAUUAAAUUUGCCUUGGGUGGGAGGAACUACUCCAGAAGCUGAGCAAAGGAUAUGCUUCAGAAAGCUGUACUCAGGGUGGACAGAAGCUCAGCUAUUGGUAACAGCUGGAUGUGCAAAACUUGCCUGAAAAUUUUGGUACCUACAAUGGGCUGUAAAGUCACUACAACAGUUGAUCCAGGUCACUGGGUAAAUUCAAAAUGGGAUUCAGUUUUCCAACUAUUGCUGGUGCCACCAGAUAACCCCAUGGACAGAAGACUGGUUGGAUGGAUGAGUCAACAACUAGAACUGCUGCACACCUCUUGAGCUCUCAGAUGUCUGGUGGAACUGCUUCUGUGGUCAGACUUGCACUGAAUAAUGGCUAGGCUGGGAUUUAACUCUAAGUCAUCUAGGGUCAAAUCUAACUGUCUGUCUCCAGCAUCACACUGAGACUAUGUUUAUUUUCCAUCUAUGUUGGCAUUAAAUGGAUGUGGGAUUCUGUUUAAUACAGUGGUUCAAAU